rnacentral:lncRNA from 10 species
AUUAGGAGAAAUACCUAAUGUAGAUGACAGCUGAUGGGUGCAUAAAACCACCAUGGCAUGUGUAUGCCUAUGUAACAAACCUGAACAUUCUGCACAUGUACCCCAGAACUUAAAGUAGAUAUAUAAAAAAAGAAAGAAAUCAUUGCCAAGAUCAAUGUCAUAAAGCUUUCACCCUAUAUUUUCUUCUAUAAAGUUUCAGGUCUUAUGUUUAAGUCUUUAAUCCCUUUAUGAGUUGAUUUUUUUGCAUGGUGUAAGGUAGCAGCCCAAUUUAUUUUCUUGCAUGUGGAUAUCCAGUUUUCCCAACACCAUUUGUUGAAGUGACUAUCCUUUCCCCAUUGUAUAUUCUUGGCACCCGUCAAAGAUUAGUUGACUGUAUAUGCUUGGGUUUAUGCUGGCCUCUCUAUUCUGUUUCAUUAGUCUACAUGUCUGUCUUUAUGCCAAUAGCAUACUGUUCUAAUUAAUGUAGCUUUGUGAUAUAUUUUGAAACCAGAAGUAUGAUGCCCCCCAACUUUCUUUCUCAAGAUUGUUUUGGCUAUUCAGGGUACUUUGUAACUCCAAGUGAAUUUGGGGGUUGUUAUAUUUUUGUAAAAAAAAAUGCCACUGGUAUUUUGAUAAGCAUUGUAUUUAAUCUGUACAUUGCUUUGGGUAGUGUGGACAUUUUAACAAUAUUAAGUCCUCUGAUCCAUGAACACAUGAUGUCUUUCCAUUUAUUUGUAUCUCCUUUAAUUCAUCAGUGUUUUAGUUUUCAGUGUAUAAUGA